rnacentral:rRNA from 1 species
GGGGCCCGCACAAGGCGGGUGGAGCAUGUGGUUUUAAUUUCGAUGCAAACGCGAAGAACCUUACCUACUCUUGACAUCCAGAGAACUUAGCAGAGAUGCUUUGAUGCCUUCGGGAAACUCUGAAGACAAGGUGCUGCAUGGCUGUCGUCAGCUCGUGUUGUGAAAUGUUGGGUUAAGUCCCGCAACGAGCGCAACCCUUUAUCCUUUGUUGCCAGCGAUUCGGUCGGGAACUCAAAGGAGACUGCCAGUGAUAAACUGGAGGAAGGUGGGGAUGACGUCAAGUCAUCAUGGCCCUUACGAGUAGGGCUACACACGUGCUACAAUGGCAUAUACAAAGAGAAGCGACCUCGCGAGAGCAAGCGGACCUCAUAAAGUAUGUCGUAGUCCGGAUUGGAGUCUGCAACUCGACUCCAUGAAGUCGGAAUCGCUAGUAAUCGUAGAUCAGAAUGCUACGGUGAAUACGUUUCCCGGGC